UUUUAGCUUUGCUCAACUUUUCACGUGUUUUUUUUUUUUUUGUAGACAAUAUUUUAAAUAUUCUUCUUUGUUUUUAAGUGAUUGGUGUUUUUUAAGUUUGCACAACUUGUUUUCGUCUGAUGAAAAAGUGUUGAAAUUUUCUCAUUCUGUUAUGUGAAGUUAAUUAAUAAUUAUUGUAAAGACACUGUAUGAUGUGUUUUUUCUGAUAUUAUGUAUUUGCAAGAAGAUUUUUUUGUUAAUACCUUUAAAUAUGAUGUAUAUAAAAUUAUAGCUAAGUUAUUUAUUUUAAGUAAGCAUAAAUAGUUGCUUGAUCUUCCUAUAACUCCAUUACUCGACAAUUAUUACCAGAGACUAAUUAGAUAUUAUGCAUUCAUCAAAGUAUAAACAAUUUUGAUAGAUGAUGCAGCAAAGUUUACUUGCUUUUGUAAACCAUUCUUUAUUUUAUUUCCUGUUUUUUUCUAAUAAUAUUAUGCUCCUUAAAAUUCUAGAAAUAACAUGUUUCUGACUGUAAUAAUAGCUUGAAAUCCUCCUUAACAGGUAUCUAUUGAAAAAUUUAUUAAUGAAACUCAUUGGCAUAAAUUUCUAUGGUAAUUUCGUUAAAUUUUGAGUAAGUUAGUUACAGUUUUUAAAAUUAUAAUUCUAAAAAAUUUAACAGUAUUUAGUUGCAGGGUUAUGAAGAAAAGUUAGUAUUCAGAUUAUUAAAAUGUUAUUAUUUUUUUAAUAAUUUUAUUGUUAUUUAAAAAUUUUACUAUUACAGUUGUUAUAUUGUUUUAAACUUUCAUUACUAACAUGUUUAUUUAUAUUUUAUUUCAUUUUAAUUACAUGUUUUAUUUAAUUUAAUUUAGGAAAUUAUAAAUUCAUGUGUUUGUUUUAAUUUGAUUGUUUUUCCAACGAUCAACUCAAUCGCUGUUUUAGAAUAUGUAUUGUAGCUUUAAAAUGAAUGAUUUCUAAUGAUUGCAGAUUUUUCUUUUUCAUGGUGAUCUCUUUACAACUUUGUAAUGUUGGUUGAUUUCUGUUUUAUUUUUGUAAUUACAUGUUUUUUAUUUAAAAUUAUAUAAUAUUUUAAUAGAUUUAAAUAUUAAAUUUCUAAUUUAUCUUGGUUAUGAACAAUUCAUAAUUAAGAUAAAUGAGUUGAUCAAAUAUGAACAAUUGAAGUUAAACAUGUAUCAAAAUCAAUUGAACAAUUAUCAAAAUAGGAAUUUUUUUAAAAAUGUUUACAGGUUGAAUGAAGAAUAUUUUGGUGACAAAAUCAUAAAACGAUACAAAAAUAUAAAAAUCAAAACAUAUUUAUUGCAGUGAUAACAAUAUUUAAUAAAAAUAAGCUUUUAAUAUUUUACUGCUUUCAGAAUAAUUGGUUUUGAAAGCGAAAAGUGGAUGAUUCGGCAUUUUUUGUUUCUAAGUCAAAGUAAAAUGCUAAGAUCUCAAAACACUUUCAUGUGCUAUUUUAUAGAGGCAUGAUAAUCUAAGCAUUUAUAGUUUAAUUUUAAGCUCAAUAACAUUUUAAAAGAUUAAACUUACUGUUUGACCAUUAAAAGUGAGCUGGCCAGUGGAAAUUUAGCGCCUUUUUGUAAAUAUAAAUAUUGUAAAAGCGAUUUGUAUUUAAUUCUACACUUUUAACAUAAAAUGAUUAUUUUAUUUGAUAAUUUUUAAAAUUAUUAGAUAUUAACAGGAAAGUUAAAAUUUUUUUAAAAAUACCUACUUUUGCUUUUACUUGUGUGAUUAAGAUUAUUUAAAAAAAUUAUUAAAUUUCACUAUUUUUAAUUUAAUUUAAAAAAAAAUUUAAUUGUAUAAUAAUUUAAUAUCCUUAAUUUUUGUAACAUGUUAUAUGCAUUAAUAAAUUUUAUUUUUGGAAAAUUCACCGAAAAUGGUUUAACAAACUAGGUCAUUGUUAUACAGCCUUUUGCUUUAUGAUUUUGUCUUAAAAAUUGCUCAUGGAAUAAUAUCAUGAGCAAUUUCUCCCAAUAAUUGGAUAUUUUUCUUUUAUAAUUCUUUUAAAAAAUGUAUACCAAAUCUUUCAAAAACUAAUUCAUUGUCAUUCAGGCAUUUGCUUGUUAUUAUGAAUUAGCCUUAAAAAUUGCCCAUUCUGUAACAUAGGUAAUUUUUAUGACAAAAUCUAGUUAGAAAUUGACCAACAAUUUCCUUUUCUGUAACACUGUUUGAUUAUUAUAAUUAUAUUUAGCAUUGUUUGUAACCAAAAGAAAAAAUAAGAAUGAUUACUUCAUAUGUGAGAGUGUGUAGAAUUAGUUGUGCAAGCAGUUGAAUGUUUACAUUUUGAUAAUGAAUCUGUGUGGAUUAUCAAUAAACAAUUUGCCAAAUCAGUUAACAAUUGUAAAUUGGUAUUUUAGGUUUAAAGGAAUAAAGUUUUA